rnacentral:rRNA from 1 species
AGUGAACGCUGGCGGUAGGCCUAACACAUGCAAGUCGAACGGCAGCACAGUAAGAGCUUGCUCUUACGGGUGGCGAGUGGCGGACGGGUGAGGAAUACAUCGGAAUCUACUUUUUCGUGGGGGAUAACGUAGGGAAACUUACGCUAAUACCGCAUACGACCUACGGGUGAAAGCAGGGGAUCUUCGGACCUUGCGCGAUUGAAUGAGCCGAUGUCGGAUUAGCUAGUUGGCGGGGUAAAGGCCCACCAAGGCGACGAUCCGUAGCUGGUCUGAGAGGAUGAUCAGGCACACUGGAACGUGGACAAGGACCAGAGGCCUACGGGAGGGAGCAGUGGGGAAUGUUGGACAAUGGGGGCAAGCCUGAUCCAACCAUACCGCGUGGGUGAAAAAAGACUUGGGGGUGUAAAGCCCUUUUGUUGGGAAAGAAAAGCAGCAGGUUAAUACCCCGCUGUUCUGACGGUACCCAAAGAAUAAGCACCGGCUAACUUCGUG